rnacentral:lncRNA from 1 species
GUAUCGAUCAUAGGAUUCAAGGAUUUCAGACAAGUAUCUGGAACGACAGGUAAAAGUUAGUUCCUAAUUUCUCUCUCUCUAAUUUCUCUCUUGAGUCAAAGUCUGCUUCCAUUGCAGGAUCAUUGACCAAGAUUAGACAUGCUUCCAUGAAUCAAAACUUAAUGGUGGUUGCCACCAAGCUCUGUUCACUUCUUUUUGACCUAUAUCCAAGAAUUCUUUGUGAAAGCGAGCCUUGAAGAUUGCCGCCUCCAAGUCCCGUUUCAAACUCUUUUAUUGGAGUCUUAUAUGAAUCAAACCUUAAUGGUUUUAGCCACCAAGUCCUGUUCAGACUCAUCCUAAGUAAACAAUAGAUCCCUUAUUUUUUUAUUUUAUUUUUUUUUUACAUUUUUUUUUCUAAAAUAGAAAUAGCUAAUCUAGGGUCGUAAUUAGAGAGAGGAAUGUGAUAUAUAAUUCUACACAAGGCUUUACCUUCCAGACUUGUCUGAAGAAUCCGAUCCCAUGUAUACCAAACCCCAAGACAAGCAGUGAAGUCAGGUUAGUGUUGGAGGUUAGCUUUGGUUCUUUCUAACAAGCUAGCAAGUGUGUAUAGUUGACUGGUUGAUCCACUUUAGCAUCUAUAGAAUUAUCUGCAAUCAGUAAUUCUAGAAUGGUGCUAGAAAGUGGUUAGACAUUCAAGUAGAAAUCAUUAGUUCAUAAUCCCCUUCUUGAAACGCCAGAGUUUCCCUUCCUCGAGCCAUAGCGAGUGCACCAAGUGCUGCUCGUCGAGGAAGGCGUGGUCGCGGUCGGCAGAGCGAGGGUCGAGGCGGAUGCCGAGGUACUGGAAAAUCGGGGUUAGAAGACUCCCAACUGUCUCCUUCUUCUUACCCUUGCUGUUGAAAGGCUUCUUCUUCAACUACAUCAAGUGCGCGGCAAAGACAGCUCCGAGGUUCGGCGGCCUUACUUUGCCGUCCUCGUCCAACUCAACCAAAUCCACCACGCCAUUCACUGCACAGAAAAGUAAUGUGAGCUCCUUUAUCCUGACCUUGUUGGGCUCCAUCUUGCAAACCAGUGUGUUUGCAAGGAGCCGUAGGAAAUAGCGAAGUGCAGGAUGGCGGAUGUCUGAUAGCACGGCCCUGUUUGUGUCCCAAACUCCUGUGCUGACGAUAUCCCAGAAUCUCUCGAGGUGUGGGAAAGGUGGGAAGGAGGUGACGCUCUCAUCGAAACCGUAGAUGCGGCAGAGCUCGAUGAUAGUGAUCCUGUAGCGUGUCCCUCUAGCAAAGAAGGUCAAAGUACCAUCUCCCGCUACCCCCGCUGAUGAAGUCCUGUAGGUGACCUCGACAGUGG